CUGAUCCAUCAUUUUCUUUGUCAUGAUGGAUUUUGGCUCUUGGACUUUGCUGUCUGCUCUAUUUGAGAGGAAAUAGGUGUUUUUACUGUUUAAGGGGCGCUUUCACACCUAUAGUUCGGUAGACUCAGUGCAAUUCAGGGGUGAAGUUGCAACAUUGUUGCAUUUUCUAUUUGGUUCAGUCUGCUUUCACAUUGCACUUUGUCAGACGCACCAAACACUGUAAACAAAUAUCAAGCCGUCGAAACGGUCGCUUGUUUAUUAGACAGAAUAUCCGGGUGAAACUCGCAGCCACUUCUGGUCUCAGAAAUAUUGGAGCAACACCAAAUUUAAAUUUUAAUAGAAUUAAUAAAUUAAUAAUUUAGAAGAAGGUGAACAAUCUAAGCAGCUAAAAGACAGCGAGUGGAGGAGAGAGAGAGAGAGAGAGAGAGAGGACG